rnacentral:rRNA from 1 species
CUGCGAAGGGGGGACGGAGAAGGCUAUGUUGGCCGGGCGACGGUUGUCCCGGUUUAAGCGUGUAGGCUGGUUUUCCAGGCAAAUCCGGAAAAUCAAGGCUGAGGCGUGAUGACGAGGCACUACGGUGUUGAAGCAACAAAUGCCCUGCUUCCAGGAAAAGCCUCUAAGCAUCAGGUAACAUCAAAUCGUACCCCAAACCGACACAGGUGGUCAGGUAGAGAAUACCAAGGCGCUUGAGAGAACUCGGGUGAAGGA